rnacentral:rRNA from 1 species
UUGCUUCUUGCUGACGAGCGGCGGACGGGUGAGUAAUACUUAGGAAUCUGCCCAGUAGUGGGGGAUAGCACGGGGAAACUCGUAUUAAUACCGCAUACACCCUACGGGGAAAAGGGGGCGCUUGCGCUCUCGCUAUUGGAUGAGCCUAAGUCGGAUUAGCUAGUUGGUGGGGUAAAGGCCUACCAAGGCGACGAUCUGUAGCUGGUCUGAGAGGAUGAUCAGCCACACCGGGACUGAGACACGGCCCGGACUCCUACGGGAGGCAGCAGUGGGGAAUAUUGGACAAUGGGGGCAACCCUGAUCCAGCCAUGCCGCGUGUGUGAAGAAGGCCUUUUGGUUGUAAAGCACUUUAAGCAGUGAAGAAGACUCUAUGGUUAAUACCCAUAGACGAUGACAUUAGCUGCAGAAUAAGCACCGGCUAACUCUGUGCCAGCAGCCGCGGUAAUACAGAGGGUGCAAGCGUUAAUCGGAAUUACUGGGCGUAAAGCGAGCGUAGGUGGCUUAAUAAGUCAGAUGUGAAAUCCCCGGGCUUAACCUGGGAACUGCAUCUGAUACUGUUGGGCUAGAGUAGGUGAGAGGGAGGUAGAAUUUCAGGUGUAG